AUUGAACGCUGGCGGAAUGCUUUACACAUGCAAGUCGAACGGCAGCACGGGGCAACCUGGUGGCGAGUGGCGAACGGGUGAGUAAUACAUCGGAACGUGCCCAAUCGUGGGGGAUAACGUAGCGAAAGUUACGCUAAUACCGCAUACGAUCUACGGAUGAAAGCAGGGGACCGCAAGGCCUUGCGCGUUUGGAGCGGCCGAUGGCAGAUUAGGUAGUUGGUGGGGUAAAAGCUUACCAAGCCGACGAUCUGUAGCUGGUCUGAGAGGACGACCAGCCACACUGGGACUGAGACACGGCCCAGACUCCUACGGGAGGCAGCAGUGGGGAAUUUUGGACAAUGGGGGAAACCCUGAUCCAGCAAUGCCGCGUGCAGGAUGAAGGCCUCGGUUGUAACUGCUUUGUUACGGAACGAAAAGGACGUCUGGUUAAUACCUGGGGCGUCAUGACGGUACCGUAAGAAUAAGCACCGGCGUAACUACGUGCCAGCAGCCGCGGUAAGU
rnacentral:rRNA from 1 species